rnacentral:lncRNA from 1 species
CACAAUUUGUCCAUUUAAAUUGUGCAAUAGGUAUUGUGAGAGCUCAUCAACAGGUGGUCAUUUUACUACCCAGUAAAAAAUCUUCACUAUUCCUAAAAGGUAAAAUUUAAAUGACCGAUAGCUAGCUUGCUUUCCUCAUGUAUCAUGACCAAUGUCCUGAAUAGACUAUUCUAUUUAGAUAUGGGACAUUUUAAGCCAUUUCUUUUUGUGUCUCUAAAUAGUCAAGAUGGAAAUUUCAAUCAGUGAAUUUAGUUUAUAAAAAAAGUAGAUAUUAUAUGUUUGCUUCAUGGUGUUUUUAAUUUUGGAUGUAUUUUAAGUUUCUGAUUCCUGAUAUGGAAUUAAGUGUUUGUGAAAUGAAUUUAUUUUUGGAUAGCCCAUCUAAUUGUGAAUAAUUCUACAAGAUGAAUUAUGUGUGGCUUGGUGUUCUCUAAUGGGAUAUAUUUUUAUGUUAUAUUACGAUUCCUGAAAUGGAAUAGUAGUGAUGCUAAGUUUCAUUUAAUAUUCAGGAUCUACUUCAAUUGGAAUUACUGUUAAAAAUUUAUUUUCAAUAUAUCAAAAAAAAGUACAAAUGGCUUAGUGAAGAGAAAUUUCAGUGCUUUAUUAUGAAAGUGGGAUUUACCAUCAAUGAUUCAUUUGUGAUUGUAAGCAAAAUAAAUAAAUUUACAAUAAAUAUCUUUAUAUUAAAAAAAAAACAAAUAGUGAAUUAAAUGUAAAAUGUCCCAUACCUAAAUAGAAUAGUCCAUUCAGGACAUUGGACAUGAGGAAAGCAAGCUAGCUAUCAUUCAUUUAAAUUAGCUCUGUCAAAAACAAACCAGGUAAAUCUACAGGUAGUUAAAUGACCACCUGUUGAUAAUAGCUCUCACAAUACCUAUUGUACAAUUUAAAUGGACAAAUUGUAUUGACAAUUUUUUAAACUGGUCAGGCAAUAGGUAAUUCACUACUGCAAAGGUUAUUGGAUAGGCACAGUAAUA